rnacentral:rRNA from 1 species
UACGUAGGGGGCUAGCGUUGUCCGGAAUCAUUGGGCGUAAAGAGCGUGUAGGCGGCCCGGUAAGUCCGCUGUGAAAGUCGGGGGCUCAACCCUCGAAUGCCGGUGGAUACUGUCGGGCUAGAGUGCGGAAGAGGAGUGUGGAAUUCCUGGUGUAGCGGUGAAAUGCGCAGAUAUCAGGAGGAACACCGGUGGCGAAGGCGGUGGUCUGGGCCGACACCGACGCUGAGGAGCGAAAGCGUGGGGAGCGAACAGG